AUUUAAUGAGGAGGUAACCCCCCAAAAGUUAAUUGCCUCCUCCGCUCAACCCUAACAUCCUUGAGAUUUUCUCCCAAGACGAAGAACUCAGCUUCAUUGUCCGAAUUCGAAUACACGGUUUGUCUGCGAAGACAGGCGGAUAGCUGUUUGGCUCAUUCAAUCUUUAGCAACAGCCCCCUUACCAAACCAAAUCCAAAUUAAAGGUGGAAAGUAGUUGGUUUCAUUCCAAUCGUUGCUCCAGGUCUUGAAACUGGAAUCGUAAUUGACCUUCGCCCAAAAUCGCUAGUCCCGGGUCAUGAAACCAAACCCCAAAUUGUUAAAAAAUCACAUGUUCCAGGUGUUGAUUUAAAAUAUUGAAAUUGCAGGUUGCUUGUAUAUUGUUCAUAAUAUAAAUUACAGGUCUUCAGGAGAGUAUCAGCUGAAACUAAUGGGUAGAUAAAGCGUUUAAAUUUGAAACUAAUGGGUAGAUAAAUUAGAAAAGUAUCGGCUGCCGCUGGAAGAUCUGUUUGAUUUUGUUUCGUGAGGAUUAGAUUAGGAGAGUAGUUUUUUAUUAGAUUAGAAUUCUUGUAGGUCAUGUUGACUUGAUUAAUGAUUAGCAAGGGUUGUAUCAAGUAUAAAUAUAGGGUUUAUGGGUCACGGAUGAUCUUUUGCUUUUAUCAAAGUUUAAAAUGUGACUUGUGAUUUGUCACCAAUAUUGUGUUAUGUGAUUGUUCGAUCCAGUUUUCCAACACUAAUACGUGUACUUUGUACAUGUAGAAGUCAUGAUUGUGUUUAUUAUGCUUAGUGUGAAAUUAGGAUUUUGACUUGUUCAUAAUUGUAGGGAACACAGGGUAACAUGAAAGAAACUGAAAAUAUAGUCACUUCAACAGAAGUCGAACACGUUGUUCUCAACUCUGGAAAACUUGACAAUAGUGUUGAUGCUGUUGAAAGCUCAAAGGAGGCCCCUGCUGAUGAAAAUGAUACGAAUGAUAAUAAUGAGACUGAUGAAAGUGAUGCCUUUGAGUCAAAACUGAGAAUUGGCUUCAGCAACGGUAUGCAGAGUUAUGUCCAAGGAGUGAACAGAAUGUGUCUUUCAGAAUUCUCGGGUAUUAGUGGCGUACACUUCGAUUUAAUGAUGAUACGCGCCAAAGCACAGCUAAAGUCAUGACCGCUUAUAAUGAAUCAGGAUCUAUAUUCCUAAUGCAGCAGGCACAUUGUUUGGCUGUUCCAUUUCUGUAUAUAGGAAGACUAGUAUGAAAGUUUUGUGCAUUGGUCAUGGUGGUGGAAGCUUACCGUUGUUUUUGGCUUGCAAAAUUCCAGGAACGAGCUGCUAAGGAAGCUGCUACUAAGGAGGCUGCAAGUCGGGGUGCAAACGAGCCGAGCCGAGCCGAGCCCAAGCUCGACUAGGCUCGAGCUCGAGCUCGUUUAACAUAUGAAAGCUCGAGCUCGACUCGAUUCGAGCUUUAUUUCUAAAGCUCGAGCUCGGCUCGAAGAAAUUUGGUUCAAAAUUUAAUUACGAGGCGAUGGCUCCUCUUUGAUGAGGUGUAAAGAAGGGAUCUUUUUGGAGCUGAGAAGACCCUAAGAUUGAAAAGUUGAACUUAGUUAUCAAGGAGCUCGUUAAGGAAAAAGAUGAAAAAAAAGGUUCAAUGGAAUUAUUGCAGGAUUGUUGGCUGAAAAAGAAAAAAGAUAUGGUGGAUAAAGAUGUUAUGCUUGAUAGGAUGUCACAAAUUGAAGCUAUGUUAACAGCUGCAGUUCGAAGAUAUGCUAUAAACACUUGUUUUUGAAUGUUUAGAUGUUUAUCUUAUUAUGAUAAUUUUAGUUAUUUUAUGUUUUA